GCUGGAAUUGCUAGUAAUGGCAGGUCAGCAUACUGCCGUGAAUACGUUCCCGGGCCUUGUACACACCGCCCGUCACACCAUGAGAGUUGGGAAUACCCGAAGCCUGUGAGCUAACUUAUAGAGGCAGCAGUCGAAGGUAGAAUCAAUGAUUGGGGUGAAGUCGUAACAAGGUAGC
rnacentral:rRNA from 1 species